rnacentral:rRNA from 1 species
GACAGAGGUGGCAAGCGUUGUUCGGAAUUACUGGGCGUAAAGGGUGUGUAGGUGGUUGGAUAAGUCAGAGGUGAAAGCCCACAGCUUAACUGUGGAAGUGCCUUUGAUACUGUCUGACUUGAGUGCAGGAGAGGAGGGUGGAAUUCCCGGUGUAGAGGUGAAAUUCGUAGAUAUCGGGAGGAACACCAGCGGCGAAGGCGGCCCUCUGGACUGCAACUGACACUGAAACACGAAAGCGUGGGGAGCAAAC